UACGAAGGGGGCUAGCGUUGCUCGGAAUUACUGGGCGUAAAGCGCACGUAGGCGGCUUCUUAAGUCGGUGGUGAAAUCCUGGAGCUCAACUCCAGAACUGCCUUCGAUACUGGGAAGCUCGAGUCCGGGAGAGGUGAGUGGAACUGCGAGUGUAGAGGUGAAAUUCGUAGAUAUUCGCAAGAACACCAGUGGCGAAGGCGGCUUACUGGUCCGGAACUGACGCUGAGGUGCGAAAGCGUGGGGAGCAAACAGG
rnacentral:rRNA from 1 species